GGAAUACUCCGCCGGAUUAAAUUUGACUGUGAAAUUGGUUUCAGAUCCGUGGAUUCUGGUUUUGUCUAACCAUUUCCAUUUCCCAUGGCAUUCUCAUCCUGAAAGCCCUGACAGUAACAGAAGAGCAUUUUCUCCACUAGCUUACUCUCUUUGAUCCUACACUCGUGCGGACAUGGAGUCUUAGAUCCCACCGCCUUCGCUACACGGACGAACUCUCUCGCACUUUCUGUGAUUGUAAUUGUUUUCUGGGGAGAUCUGGCUGGUUUACGAACCGAUUGUGGUUUUGGAGCGACUGAACAGUUUGAUAAAGUUGAAUUUGUGGCGUUAGAUGCUCAAUUUCCGUCGACUUAAUGUAGAAGAUCUAGAACUGACAGUGGUUUCCGUACAGCUCGAAUCCCUAAAGUUGUGAUUUUUAGCGCUGGUCAGAGACCUUUGGCUUCCUCGCGGCUCUGGAUUACUUAAUCACUGAGUUUCGCUAUGGAGACAAUUCUUGUGGUGGCUCAGCAUAGGAACCAAUACUACAGCCGAAGCAAACCCGAUGGGCCGGUCCGAUUGGGUUCAUCCCCGGCCAGAGACUUCAGUGGGAUCAAUUGCCGGAGUUUUCAAUCCGGUGAAGGUAUACUCCCGACCCCAUUGAGGACUUGCUCUUCUCCUGUAGCCGCACGGGCAUGUUCUUCUUCUUGUUCUUUAUCUUUAGCGGAAUCCCCAUCUGGCCCACUAAACGAUAUCAGCGUGCAGUUCAAAACAACUGCGACAAGCUCCCCAAUUAAUAUCGAUGCGAAGUUUUGUAAGAAGAAUAGGGCUUUUAGCGAGGAAGUCGUUAAUGAGAGCUUCUCAUUUUCUGAGCGUUGGGCUGGCCCCACGUACUCGAACUCGCCGCCGCCGAGUUCUUUACCAAUACCCAAAUUUUCGAUCCUGCCAAAGAGAAGCGUGUCGCUUGAUUUGCCCCGUUCCGCUCCUGAGAUCGAAAUGCAUUACCCGAUGGCCAAGUCUGCGCCCCCAUCUCCUUCCAGGUAUUAUACCAAUUCUACGAGGGAUAUCACGAGGGAUAUCUUUCGUAGUGCUGACUCUGCGACUAAGACUUUACGUCGCAUUCUCAAUCUCGAUCUUGAUGAUGAGUGAAGCGGUAGGUGUGUUGGGCUUCUGUAAAUAAGUCUACUUUGAAAACCUGGGUUAGUGUUAGAUUGUAUAUAGAGUGAAUAAAAUCGGUUGGUAGUGUGAUUCUGUACGAGUUUGUUUAGCUCAGUAGCUGUUGGUACAAGCGAUGGAUAGGGCUCUGGCCUGUCAACGAUCUCCGGGUUUCACAUUAAGGAUUGAUGUGGAUUUGGGAUUGAUUUAUGGACUUGGAUUUUGGUCUUGGGCGGCAUGUCAUGACCGGAGGGAGGUACCUGUACUGUGUGGCUUUUGCGGCACAGUUGGAAGCUACAUUGGGACGUUUUGGAGGGAGGAGAAGCAGUGCAUCAGAAUUUGCUAGUUUAGUUGCUGGAGCUAUAUCUUUAUUUACUGAUGUUUAAUCUAUCAGGCCUGAAGGAAAUCAUAUUUCUAGAUGAAAAAGUUAUGAUAUUAAGUUCUUGGUAGAAGUUCUUAACAGAAUUCUUAAUUUUCACUGAUCUGUUCUUAGGUUUAGGUCUAUGGCUUCAGAAGCUGUAUAUACUGUAGAAUCUUGAACUGACUCCUUACACCAACUCCUAUGCUUCUGUUUCAUUCCCCUUUUUGUCAGCGUCUUUCGUUGUUCUUAAACUUCAGCAUCCUUUCUAACUUUCUUUCUCAGUCUAUCAUUGAUUACUGUCUUAAAUGAAUAGAUGAAAGGUUGCCUAAAUUGGCUGGCUCAGACGAGCAGCCUUCCUCAAACCCUUUACCCACCUCUCAGCUUCUCCACCCUCGCCUCUCCACCCUCUUCUUACUCACUGUUUCUAUCCUUUUACUAGGAUCUGACUCCUCUCUGUACAAUCUGGGAGGUAUGGUUCCCUUCUCCAUUUUCCUGGUUUUUAAGAGCGAAAAGUGGGAAGGGAGCUUCUGCUUCUUCAUUUUGUUGCCUUAUUCCAUGUUGCGUUGUCUUCCUGUAAGCUCCUUCUAGUUUCUUGUUCUUGUGAGUGCAUAUUGUCCCAUUCAUCUUGAUCUCGGCAAGGGUUAUCUUCCUUGGAGGUUAUUGAUUGUACCAAGUGAUGCUCAAGCGGGAGCCUGUCAGAGAAGAAUGUGGCAGCUGGCUUUACUAGGGAAUGUAAUUCACGCUGGAUCUAGUGUUGAGAAUGCAUGCUGUUAUUGAUCUCUGCAUGCUCCUAUAACAGGGAGCCUAUCAGAGGAGCUGCUUCCUGUUCUUGGUCUUAUCGGUUGUAUUGAAAAAAGCAUACUAUCCAUAUUUGCUUGGUUGAUCUUUUGUUGCAUGAGUACCCUAAUGUAGUGGAUUCUCUAUGUAGUGUUAGAUUUUCUGCCUUCUUGGCCCUUAUCACGUUGUAUCAGAUUCUGAUGUUAGUAUCUUGUUUUGCAUUUAUGUCAAUGUUUAUGCCAUCAUCCUGGGUUGUGAUUGA